rnacentral:rRNA from 1 species
CUUGAUGAACGCUAGCUACAGGCUUAACACAUGCAAGUCGAGGGGCAGCAUGGUCUUAGCUUGCUAAGGCCGAUGGCGACCGGCGCACGGGUGAGUAACGCGUAUCCAACCUGCCUUACACUCUUGGACAGCCUUCUGAAAGGGAGAUUAAUACAAGAUGUUAUCAUGAGUAAGCAUUUUCGCAUGAUUAAAGGUUUACCGGUGUAAGAUGGGGAUGCGUUCCAUUAGAUAGUAGGCGGGGUAACGGCCCACCUAGUCUUCGAUGGAUAGGGGUUCUGAGAGGAAGGUCCCCCACAUUGGAACUGAGACACGGUCCAAACUCCUACGGGAGGCAGCAGUGAGGAAUAUUGGUCAAUGGACGAGAGUCUGAACCAGCCAAGUAGCGUGAAGGAUGAAGGUUCUAUGGAUUGUAAACUUCUUUUAUACGGGAAUAAACGGAUCCACGUGUGGAUUUUUGCAUGUACCGUAUGAAUAAGGAUCGGCUAACUCCGUGCCAGCAGCCGCGGUAAUACAGAGGAUCCGAGCGUUAUCCGGAUUUAUUGGGUUUAAAGGGAGCGUAGAUGGGUUGUUAAGUCAGUUGUGAAAGUUUGCGGCUCAACCGUAAAAUUGCAAUUGAUACUGGCAGUCUUGAGUACAGUUGAGGUAGGCGGAAUUCGUGGUGUAGCGGUGAAAUGCUUAGAUAUCACGAAGAACUCCGAUUGCGAAGGCAGCUUACUAACCUGUAACUGACAUUGAUGCUCGAAAGUGUGGGUAUCAAACAGGAUUAGAUACCCUGGUAGUCCACACGGUAAACGAUGAAUACUCGCUGUAGGCGAUAUACAGUCUGCGGCCAAGCGAAAGCAUUAAGUAUUCCACCUGGGGAGUACGCCGGCAACGGUGAAACUCAAAGGAAUUGACGGGGGCCCGCACAAGCGGAGGAACAUGUGGUUUAAUUCGAUGAUACGCGUGGAACCUUACCCGGGCUUAAAUUGCAACCGAAUAUGGCGGAAACGCUAUAGCUAGCAAUAGCGGUUGUGAAGGUGCUGCAUGGUUGUCGUCAGCUCGUGCCGUGAGGUGUCGGCUUAAGUGCCAUAACGAGCGCAACCCUUGCCGAUAGUUACUAACAGGUCAUGCUGAGGACUCUGUCGGGACUGCCAUCGUAAGAUGUGAGGAAGGUGGGGAUGACGUCAAAUCAGCACGGCCCUUACGUCCGGGGCUACACACGUGUUACAAUGGGGGGUACAGAGGGCUGCUACCACGCAAGUGGAUGCCAAUCCCAAAAACCUCUCUCAGUUCGGAUUGAAGUCUGCAACCCGACUUCAUGAAGCUGGAUUCGCUAGUAAUCGCGCAUCAGCCACGGCGCGGUGAAUACGUUCCCGGGCCUUGUACACACCGCCCGUCAAGCCAUGGGAGCCGGGGGUACCUGAAGUGCGUAACCGCAAGGAGCGCCCUAGGGUAA